AAAGUCCUGGACUACCUUGAGGAUGAAGUCGGCAUACUGGAUAAAUAUGCUAUAUCCGAAAUUGCGUCUGAAUAUAAAAAAUCUGUGGACGUCAUCCAGGAUAUAGGUUUUAAGGAGGUCCAGCUUCUUCACAUCAUUGGACUCCAUUUCCAGCGACUCAAAGAAAAGCUCAAGGUUAUCGUCCAGGACUCAAAACAACGGAGGUGUCCAAAUAAACAAGGUG